AUACGUAGGUGGCAAGCGUUAUCCGGAAUUAUUGGGCGUAAAGAGUGAGCAGGCGGUUAAUUAAGUCUGAGGUUAAAGCGUGGGGCUCAACCCCAUAAAGCCUUGGCAACUGAUUGACUAGAGGACGGGAGAAGUGAAGGGAACUCCACGUGUAGCGGUGAAAUGCGUAGAUAUAUGGAAGAACACCAGUGGCGAAGGCGCUUCACUAGCCCGAAACUGACGCUCAGUCACGAAAGCGUGGGUAGCAAAUAGGAUUAGAUACCCUAGUAGUCCACGCUGUAAACGAUGACAACUAAAUAUUGCCGCGAGGCAGUGUUGAAGCUAACGCAUUAAGUUGUCCGCCUGGGGAGUACGGUCGCAAGACUGAAACUUAAAUGAAUUGGCGGGG
rnacentral:rRNA from 1 species